CCAAAUCAUAAGCGGAGGAAAAGAAACCAACAGGGAUUGCCUCAGUAGCGGCGAGUGAAGCGGCAAGAGCUCAGAUUUGAAAUCGUGCUUUGCGGCACGAGUUGUAGAUUGCAGGUUGGAGUCUGUGUGGAAGGCGGUGUCCAAGUCCCUUGGAACAGGGCGCCCAGGAGGGUGAGAGCCCCGUGGGAUGCCGGCGGAAGCAGUGAGGCCCUUCUGACGAGUCGAGUUGUUUGGGAAUGCAGCUCCAAGCGGGUGGUAAAUUCCAUCUAAGGCUAAAUACUGGCGAGAGACCGAUAGCGAACAAGUACUGUGAAGGAAAGAUGAAAAGCACUUUGAAAAGAGAGUGAAACAGCACGUGAAAUUGUUGAAAGGGAAGGGUAUUGCGCCCGACAUGGGGAUUGCGCACCGCUGCCUCUCGUGGGCGGCGCUCUGGGCUUUCCCUGGGCCAGCAUCGGUUCUUGCUGCAGGAGAAGGGGUUCUGGAACGUGGCUCUUCGGAGUGUUAUAGCCAGGGCCAGAUGCUGCGUGCGGGGACCGAGGACUGCGGCCGUGUAGGUCGCGGAUGCUGGCAG
rnacentral:rRNA from 1 species